GUCUAUGGCGGACCGUGCAAGGCGGGCGCGAGCCCGACCGGAUUGGUGUACUCCGGCGAUUCCACCCUUGCACGGUCCGCCUCCAUC
rnacentral:antisense_RNA from 1 species